GGGACAUUGGUAUAGUGGUAUUAUUCCUGUUCUGGGUACAGGAGGUCCCGAGUUCGAUUCUCGGAUGUCCCC